CUUAGCUGAUAGCAUCAACAAUGAAGGAGUCAUCAGGUGCUGAAUAUGCAGUGUGGAAUAAUGGAGUAUUCCUAUUUUCGUAGAUUUUACAUGAUCGUGAAGAAAGCAAAAACUGACACAUACUUAUGUAAUAAUGAUAUCAAGGUUAUGAAGCAAAAAAAAUUGAAUAAGGCAGUGGAGAAUAUACGACAAGAGAAAGAAGCCAUCUGAGAAGCUGACUCCCUGCCCCAGUCAAGCCUUCAGAUGACUGUAGCCCCUGGCAAUAUCUUGGGGGCAAUGGAAGGAGACACCCUGAACCAAUCCACACAGAGAAGCUGACCCUGGAUUCCUGAGCUGGAGAGGCUUUCCUCAACCUACCUUCUCCAGAGUUCAGCUCAAGUCCUGAGAAGCAGGCCCAGAGGAAGGGGCUUCCAGGCUGCCAUCCAUCCCAUUGCUUCCGGCCCAGAGGCUGCCAUGAAGUGAAAAAUCUACUCUGCCACACACAUUCCUACUGCCAUAAUGCACUGUGCCAUCACAGACACAAAGCAACUGGGCCAAGUGUCAUUGGAAUGCAACUGGUUUGAGCAAGGAAAUUCUAUGGAAGGAUCUGAAGAACUGGAUUGAUCGGCCCUUUGCUGUCUAUCCCCACGUAAGAAGAGAACUGCAAGUGCCAAGGCUCAGAAAUGUUCAAGAGUCGGCAUCCUCUGAGGUAUGGUGAGAAAAAGGUUCUUGAGUGAGGAGCAGAGGGUGCCAUGGCCAGGGGCAUGGAGCAAUCCCAGGUUCCAAUCCCAGGUCUGUAUUUACUAGCUUUAUAACCUGGGAGGAGUUUGGGUAAGUCUUUGAGCUUUUCUUUCCUUAUCUAGAAAAAGGGACAUAACAGUACCUACCUUAGAAGAUUUCUUUCAAUACAGCAUUAGUUCCUAUCUCCUUAGGAAAGCUCACCCUCUUAGCGCGGGUCUCUUCUCCAUGGAUCCACCUAAUCCCUUGUUGAAUACGAAGGGUCAGGAGAGAUUCACUGGAGAAGGGAGAAGAUGGUGGGAGGGAGGGUCAUAGGGGGCAAAGUUAAAAGAAGAGUUGAGUGGGAGUCUGGGUCUCAGAAACAUGUCUCAGAUACCAGUCAGAGAAACAUAAGAGGCCCAAGCUUAUUACUUGCUCAGCAUCAGGCACGUGGCUUCUAAUGCUAUAUUUAAAACGCUACUGAAAUUAUGAUCCUGUUGUAG
rnacentral:lncRNA from 1 species